CUUUGGGGACAUAAUUAACCUAUGAGGUUUCUGUAUUUAUGAGUAGAUUAAUAAAGGCCUGUCUUGCCUUCCAUACCUUCUACCCUAUGAGGACAAAACUUUGAGGAGACAGUGAGCAACAAAACCUUGGGAGUUCCAGUGUCCAGGACUGAGGGAAAUAAAGUUACCCAGUCCCAGGUAUUUGAUGCCUGAAACACAAACAAACCAAGACAACAUCUCUAUUUAUUCUGACAUUUGGUGAUACUGAGUGAAAUUUUCAUAACAUUUAUUUUGUUUGUCAACAGCAUUUGACACCAUUUAUUGUCAACUUUGUAUGACUUGGGCCCUAUUCUAUGUGCUUUGCACACAUUAAUUCACUCAUAGUAAAUGCUACUUUAUCCUGGUAUCUAAAUCCAUCCUCUUUCUUCUGUCACAUUGAUUACCACUACCUCUCUCACUAGUAGGAACCCACCUCAACAUUAAUUCCCAAUCUAUCACUUUUCUUAGUCUGCCUGGAUAGUUUCACUCAUCUCCAUAGCUGUUUGUCAUUUUUACCUUACUUAUAUUUACAACAUGGAACAGCAUGCAUGUGUGAGUACAAGAAAUCCCUGCUUAAACAUUCUUCUGUCUGUUAUGAAUUUGUUUGUUUUAUUACUAAACAAUUUCUGUUUAUGGCAAAUAUUAAAAAAAAAAAGACUAGUAAAGCCACA
ensembl:lincRNA Gm43894 predicted gene, 43894